UCGGCCCCGGUUCACGUAAGGCAAUCCCGCCCUGCGACCCGGCGCC
rfam:Streptomyces albireticuli strain MDJK11, complete genome.